CUCAUGAAACUCUCUACAAAAUCAUCAAAAAAUCGAUAUCAAUGAAGGAGUUGAGAGAUUGAGGUCUUCGCAUAUCCAUAAGAUGUAGAGGGAGGUUCUGUAUUUGAGAAUCAAAGCUGGUUGAAAGGUUUGAUUUGAAAGAUCUCGACCUUCACUUUCUUCAAAGAAGAUCUCGCUCUCAGGCACUCAACUCGCUCAUCAAA